UUGCAUGUGGAAAUGCCUCUCCUCUUUGUGGAGCAGGAGUACAUCUAUUACAUGCUACAUUAAAAAAAGGAGUUCUCAGGGCUGCCAACCUUAAAGUACAGGUUGAGUGGUAGUAUAUUUCUCCUACAUGA
rnacentral:snoRNA from 1 species